CACACGAUGUUCUCUCGAUGCUCGCCGGCAGCAGCAUAGUUCAUGUCGUUACUGAAGGACGUCCUUCCACACUUCCUGAUUACAGCAGCAGUGCUGACACAGCGUAAUAGCCAGACCAUCAGCACAGGCCACAUGUAAGCACACAAGUAUCCUGGGCAGCGCCUUCACAGGAACAUUUAAUCACAGUAUAAAAGGACUUUCUCAUGUUUAUGUGAAUGCCAUAGCAACGACAUCACAGUUUAUGUAACAUAAAAAAAAUGGUCCUGCUAGUGUCACAGGUGAGGGUGGGGCUACAGUAUUAAUCUAUGACUGGCUAACCCCCCACUCUUAUUUUGAAAGUUUAGUCGCUGUUUACAGUUUACAUCACUUCAGCGGGAGUAACAAAUAAAAUCAAAGCUUUUUCCAUCUCCACGUUUCCACCUGAUUUCUUUGAUAUACCACCUGACUCAAAAUUGUCGAAACAUUAAGAACACCCAAAAGAUUUUACUGAGCUAACACAGCAGGGACCAGACAUCAGGCUAACUCCCAGCAGGCUCUGGAAUAUUCCAGGUAACUCUGACAUUGUUAGGUGGGAGGCCUCAGGUGACGCUGCCUCAAAGGCUUCCUCUGUCAGUGUCAUCACUGUGGGUCUGUUCACACACAUCGCUCCAUGAUUCCCCCCUGAAGAAGAGUCCUUUCCUAAUCCUUCGUGCUUCCGGUUCUGCCGGAGACACAGACACUCACAGACAAACCGUGUGUGUGUGUGUGUGCGCGCGCAGGCGUUAUCAGCUUCAUCAUCUGAUGUGGCAGCGGUCUGACGAGUCUGCAGACGCUAAGCCGUGUCCUGCAAGUGAACCACACCUUCCUUAAACUUCUGCUGAUAACACGACACAACAGCUGCUGCCUCGCCCUGUGAGCCAGCAGCGACUGAGCCUUGUUACUGAAGGCCGACCCAAAACAGUCAGCAAACUUCUUCCUGCUUCAUCGGGUAGUUACCGCGGGGUCACUUCACAGACUCGGACGCCCUUCUUUAUCCGCUCUGCUGCACACAGACAAGAGCAACAGAGGCAGCAGUAACCUCUGCUCUGAAAACGUCCAUUAGAGCUGCAGAGCUGCGCGGGGAGCUCACAGAGAGAGGGCCUGCACGGCCUGCAGGAGCCGACCAAGGCAUCAUCAGGUAACCUCAGCUCCUAUUGGCUCAAGCAACGACGUAAGACAGCGAGUGACAUCCUGCAGCCUGGACGGUCACUUUAAAUAUCAUGUGACCUCGCUUUGUUUGGAGGUUGGCUUUGCAUGUCUGUCCCGUUUAUUCCUCACGCUGUGGGAUUAAUCCAAGAUUAAUCUGCGAUUGUCUUACUGAAAACAGGCGUCUUCACCUGUACUGAUGUUGGACGUUUAAAAAUCUGGGUUUUUUGAGCUCGAGUAAAUUUAAUCCCACUGACAGAAAGGUGCACGUGCCGGCUUUAUUAAAAGAAGAUGAUUCAUAGGAAGGCAUUUCCUUGAUGAUGACGUUCCUUUUUGUCCUAAAACCUGAAUUCACUCCUCACCUUAAAAUAAUGACAAAGCUCCCCUCAGAGUCUGACUAAAUGCUGCUUUUAAGGUUGACCUAUUCUGCACUUUUUCUACUCUUCCAGCUGUAUGAUGUCAUCACGAAAACAAAAGCUCCACCCACCUGCUGUUUAAAACUUCUCUUUGUAAGGCUUAUUCUGAUUUGUGAAUCAUGUUAAGCUGCCCUGGGAGUGUGAGAGAACACAGUCUGAUUCAGCUGUAAACACAGUCUGAAAAGUCAGUGAUGACACAGCAGCAGCUAGCAUGCUUAACAGCCAUUUAGCUGUAUCCACCUGACAGGAGGGACCGGUGACUCACUCAGGUGAGGCUCCAGGUAAAUACAGGCACCGUUGCUGCUGCGUUUGUGGCAGCCAGCCAAUCAAAGCCUACCUGGAGUCUGAGCUGGUUAAACACGUCGGCAGUGUCCGUGUCCGCAAACACGGAGCUCCGUUUUUAAUCUGAUUUAAGUUCCACUCAGCGGCUAACCCACAAACCCGAGCUCAGAGCCCCGGAGCUGGGCCUGUGGUCAAAGUUCCGUGAUCUGCCGGAUCUCCCAGCUCCGUACAGUCAAACCGGACUCACUCAGGGGGCUGUCGGUCGCUUUAUGACCGAUUAAAGUGCCAGAGGAAUUGUUGUCUGAAGGCCAAGAAAGAUGCCAAGCGGAUUUUCAACUGAUUUUCAAAUGGCAGAAACACAAUGAACCAAUCACACUAAGGACACUGCUAUGCUUUUACCUGCUAAGUAAAGGUCACCCUGACUCACUGCUCCGUCCUGUGGUACAAACAUGACGGUACAGCCAGCCUUGUUCUAACUCUGGCUUGCAUCUCCACAUCGCAGUGCACAGAUGUUCUCGACGUGAAAAAGCUUGUGCAUGCUCGUGGAUUACCUGUUACAGAAACAACAAAUCACAACAACAGAUGCCUCAGGUGCUUUCAUAUUGUAAGACCUACAAUAACACACAGAAAACAAUGUUUUGAUAAUUAGCAUUACUGU